rnacentral:rRNA from 1 species
AAUGGCUCAUUAUAUAAGUUAUCGUUUAUUUGAUAGUACCUUACUACUUGGAUAACCGUGGUAAUUCUAGAGCUAAUACAUGCUAAAAAUCCCGACUUCGGAAGGGAUGUAUUUAUUAGAUUAAAAACCAAUGCCCUCUGGGCUCCUUGGUGAUUCAUGAUAACUCUUCGAAUCGCACGGCCUUGCGCCGGCGAUGGUUCAUUCAAAUUUCUUCCCUAUCAACUUUCGAUGUUUGGGUCUUGGCCAAACAUGGUCGCAACGGGUAACGGAGGGUUAGGGCUCGACCCCGGAGAAGGAGCCUGAGAAACGGCUACUACAUCCAAGGAAGGCAGCAGGCGCGCAAAUUACCCAAUCCCGAUUCGGGGAGGUAGUGACAAUAAAUACUGAUACAGGGCUCUUUUGGGUCUUGUAAUUGGAAUGAGUACAAUUUAAAUCCCUUAACGAGGAACAAUUGGAGGGCAAGUCUGGUGCCAGCAGCCGCGGUAAUUCCAGCUCCAAUAGCGUAUAUUAAAGUUGUUGUGGUUAAAAAGCUCGUAGUUGAACCUUGGGCCUGGCUGGCCGGUCCGCCUCACCGCGUGUACUGGUCCGGCCGGGCCUUUCCCUCUGUGGAACCCCAUGCCCUUCACUGGGUGUGGCGGGGAAACAGGACUUUUACUUUGAAAAAAUUAGAGUGCUCCAGGCAGGCCUAUGCUCGAAUACAUUAGCAUGGAAUAAUGAAAUAGGACGCGUGGUUCUAUUUUGUUGGUUUCUAGGACCGCCGUAAUGAUUAAUAGGGACAGUCGGGGGCAUCAGUAUUCAAUUGUCAGAGGUGAAAUUCUUGGAUUUAUUGAAGACUAACUACUGCGAAAGCAUUUGCCAAGGAUGUUUUCAUUAAUCAGGAACGAAAGUUAGGGGAUCGAAGACGAUCAGAUACCGUCGUAGUCUUAACCAUAAACUAUGCCGACUAG